UUUCUACAGUGGAAAAUAUAGCUUGGUCAAAUGGAGUUUUAUUUCUUUUGCUAUUAUUACAAAUGAAUAUAGGCUUUCUUUCUUUCUUUUUUCUUUUCUUUUUUCCUCCUAAAGAAUGUAAUAGUACUUUUAUAUCAUGGCCAUACUGCACAGCAGAAUCUAAUUUAAGUUUACAGUCCAUUUAAUAAGAACACUGCAGAGCUUUGUCCACUAACUAGAUGUUAAAUAUUGCUUUCAUUUGAAAUAAAACAAUAAUGGACAUUAACUAUAACCAUUUCUAAAAGUGCAGGCUUUUUGAUUGCUUUCUACCUUGCUAACAAACAGUUUCAGUUGACUUUUGUAUCACUUUGAGCCAGCAGAGGUAAGCCUUGCAAAAGAGUCAGAUGUUCUGAUAUUUGGGUUAUUUCUGUAAAACCUUAAGAGACGGAGCCUGCUCCAGAAAACGCCGAGGGCUGAAAUAUAUUAUGAGAGAACUACUGUUUAUGCAGACCUCAGGUUCACGGCAAAGAAACAGAAAAUAGCAAAUUCCCGUAAGAGCUAAACCUUCACCUAUUUACAGAAAUAUUAGGCAGCAGGAUGAAAACAUGAAAAUCAAUGGAAAAUAAUAUUUAAUGUUCUGCCAAUUUAACUGGGGUUAUAUUGUAUCUAUCUGUCUUGCAUUUAGAGAAAGUCUUCCAUUCAUUACUAGCUAUGCCAUUAAUUUUGUUGGUGUAUUUGUGUGUGUUAAUCUUUGUUUCUUUCUUUUUUCUUUCUUUCUUUACUUCCUAAAGGGAUUUUAAAAAGUGUAUAUUCAUAUUCUGGCAUCAUUAUUGAUCAUAUUUUAUAUUUCAAUCAAGUUAAUAAAUAAUCCUAUACAUUGCUUUUUAAAUGAGUACACAUGAUGGACAAUAAUGGUUUGUCCAAUUUUUGGAGUUUCCUGUCAAUAGAGAAGCAAAACACUUUAAGAGAAAUAAAUUCCGAAGCUGCCUAUAAAAAAAUAAAUAAAGAAAAAUUUAAAAAUUUAAAAAAAAUGCCCAUAGCCCUGAGUUAUAAAGUUAUAAGCACUGAUAUCACAUAGGGGAUACAGCUCUCAUGAAAUGAGAAUGCUAUUUCACCUUGCAAAUGGCUUCAUAGAAAAUGACCACUAAGUCUUGGUAGGUGUGGUGAACCAUGCACUUCAUUUUGGGGACCAUGUCACACACAGUUUUUGAUUUAUUUUAAAUAAUAAUAAAUAAAAAACUUUUUAGUAAUGAUUCUUCUCCCCAAAAUAGGCAUAAUUUCCAGCUGUGCUUACAAUUACUGUUAGAUUAAUUGCAAUAAAAGGGGUGUAAAGUAACGAAUUACAAAUACUCUCGUUACUGUAAUUGAGUAGUUUUUCUCAGGAAUUAUACUUUAUUGAGUAGUUUAAAAAUAGUAUACUUUUACUUGAGUACAUUUUAAGCGCUGUAACGAUACUUUUACUGCACCAUUUUCCCUCGACUUGCUAUUGCUACAUGCUUUACAUGUCGUAAUUUACUCUUUUUUUUUUCGUCAACGGUGAUUGGCUAAGGAGAAUAACCAAUCCCAUCAAAUCAAAUUGCGCAUUGAAAACUUGCAUUAGACCUCGUGACACCUGCCGCUAAUUUCUUUUAAUCAUGGAGGGGGAGGGAGGAAGUGUGGUGGUGGUGGAUGCUUCAACAAGCAACAGUUCCAGUACAACAACUGAACAUCCGUGGCUGCACCUGAAAGAGCUAUUCGUGAUGAAGAUGAAGAAGAGCAGUUGUAUGAUUAUGUCAUUUCAGCUUUGUUUGCCUAAACCAGUCGAAAUAUCAACAUUCAAGAAUUCUACCUCUAAUUUGAAAAAACAUAUCAAGGUAAGUUUCGGAUUUCUGCUAACUAGGAUAUUUGUAAAGUAUGUAUGCAUAACAUAACCUGUCAAUGACUGUACCUAGUUAGCGAUUACAUUAUUGGGCUGCUGUGUGAGAAAUAUAGCCGCAGUGUUUACAACAUUAUGGAACUACAAGCUUUAGCUCGUUAGUUCUAUCUAGUGCAUUAAGUGAGGGUAAUGUGUUCUCACUUUGCAAUUUAACAUGGUAGUCUGUGUAUUGCAAAUAAUGUUUUAUACAAAGCAUCAGUUUUAUAUCUCUGUAAUCAUUGUGCAUUCAUGUUUAUUUUUUUUUUAUUUUUUUUAUUGAUGCAAGCAAAUAGUUUUUAUCAUUGAUGAGCAAUGUGACAUUUACUCAAUUUUGAAAUUUUUACAGAGAAAACAUCUAUCCAAAAUUAAUGCAGUACAAUGAAUGCAUCUUGAAAAGAAAGAACGAUUCGACGAGAGGUGCGAUUCAGCUGUGAAACAUUUGAAGAUUAAAGACUACUCCAUGUCAUGCAGGCAGGUUGCUCAGGCCACAAUUGGCAGGCUUGUAGUUGAGUUUGUCUACGAAAGUCUUCAACCAUUUACCACUGUUGAACUCCAAACAUUCAAAAAUCUUAUCCUUACAAUGCAACUUAGCUGAACAGUUAUGUCCAGACCAACUGUGAAGCUGAAAAUCCAGGAAACAGCUGCAAAGCUCAAGGAAAACAUGAUUGCUGAGAUGGCCAAUUUCAACUAUAUAGGUACCACUACUGAUUGUUGGACAGCAUGACAACGGAUUUACAUUGGUCUACACUGGAAAGAAGGUCUGCCUCCAUUGCCUUUAGACACUUGAAAGGUCAGCAUACCUUUGAUUUGCUCGCAGGGAUCCUGGAUGACAUCCAUUCUAAAUACGGCAUCACAGAAAAGAUAGUGAGAAUGACAACUGAUAGCGGAUCAAAUUUUAUCAAAGCAUUUAAAGUGUAUGGUGAACAGAGUCAGCAAGAGGAGAUGAGUGCUGAGGCAGUGGCUGUGGAGAGUGAUGAAGAUGCAGAAGGAGUUGAGGUUCAGGACACCUGUUCUAUUUUAAACGCAAACAGUGGGUUGGAGUAUCACCUAACCAAAAAUCAGCGUUGUGCAUGUCACUUCCUUAAUUUGGUGGCUACUGUGGCACAUCCAAAGCAGAGAUCAGCAGUGAGAUAUUUAAGAAGCUUUCCUUUACUACAUUUGCAAAAUGCCAGGCAUAAUACAAUAAAACCAGCCGGUCUGCCAUCAACGCUGAAAUUGUGCAAGAACAAUGUAAGCUGCAGUUCAUACAGCCCAACCACACAAGAUGGAAUUUAGUGUACAGUGCUGCAGAGAGGAUGACACGGAUCUUAAAGGAGCAGGGAGAAGCAUCCCUUCGAAUGUAUGUGCAGCAUUCAAAAUUAAAAUGCUGUAUCCUGCUGAAGUUGCUUUCCUCUCUGAAUACUGCUGUGUGAUGAAGCCUGUUGCCAUGGCCUUGAACAUCCUUCAAUUCGAAACAAACACUCACAUGGGGUGGCUGCUUCCCACCAUCUACCUUCUUCAUUCAAAGCUCAAAAAGAUGCAGGCUUCAGUCAAGGUGUGUCUUCCCCUUAUUCACGCUCUGCAGUAGGGUCUACAAAAGCGCUUUGGAGAGCUUAUGGAAGAUCCGGAACUCAUCAGUGCUGCAAUUCUUCUUCCCAAAUUCAAAACGUCAUGGACAGACAAGGUCCACAUCAUUAAAGCAGGUACAGAUUACAUUCUGCAUCAUCUGAUGCCAUGAAGGACACACAACAAAAAGAAUCACGGUGUGAUGCCUCUGACGGGGAUGACUUCUUCUCUUCCAUUAAACAGUUUCAUCCCCAACUGCAUCUGAACUGGAUGGAUACUUGGCAUGUGCCUCAGAAGAGAUGGAACUGCUUCACUCAUUCCCUUCAGUGAAAAAGCUAAGCCUCAGACUGAACACACCCUUGCCUGCCUCUGCGGCAUGUGAGCGCUGUUUUAGUUGUGCUGAGAAGCUGUUUACACCUAAUCAAGCCAGGCUGGACUGUUAAAAUUUUGAGAAUCAGCUCCUUGUGAAACUGAACAACAAAUUCAAAAUGUAGGCUCAUUGUUGACCCCUACAUUAAAAUAGCUGCAAAUCUGCAUUAAUGUUCAUGUUCAUGUUGAGAACAUUGUCAGUUAAUUUAUAUGUUGGUAUAUUUACUUCAGUGUGAUUCUCCAAUAUGUGCUACAGACUCACCUUUUCAAGUUAAAUUGUUAAGGUACAACACUGUGAAACCCUUUUCUCUUUAUAGGAUACAAGAACUUAACGUGUAAGAAAACUUUUAUUAAUGUCAUGAUAAUCUAUUGGUUGCUUUUUCAAAUAUUACAUGCCUCUAUUUUAAAUGUUAGCAGUCAAAAAUAAAAGUCUUAUAAGGCGGAAUA